UUAUUAUACCCCCGCUUUAAAAAAGGGGGGGGUAUACUGUUUUACCUCUGUCUGUCCGUCCGUCCGUCAGUCCGUCAGUCCGUCCGUCAGUCCGUCAGUCCGUCAGUCAGUCCGUCCCAUGAAACUUUCGUCACAUUUUUCUCAGGAACUGCACAUCCACCUUUUCUGUAAUUUGGUAUCAACAUUUAUAUAUGUCAGCCAUACCGUGUGAUGCGUUUUCAGAUUCAUCACUUGACAACUUCCUGUUUACCGAACACUUGUCUGAUUUUACACAUGAUAGCCAAGUUGAAAAUUUUCGUCACAUUUUUCUCAGGAACUACAAUACAAGGAUUUCUGAAAUUUGGUUUCAGGAUUUAUAUAAGUCAGCUAUACCGUGUGAUGCGUUUUCAGAUUCAUCACUCGACAACUUCCUGUUUACCGAACACUUGUAUGAUUUUACACAUGAUAGCCAAGUUGAAAAUUUUCGUCACAUUUUUCUCAGGAACUACAAUACAAGGAUUUCUGAAAUUUGGUUUCAAGAUUUAUAUAAGUCAGCUAUACCGUGUGAUGCGUUUUCAGAUUCAUCACUCGACAACUUCGUGUUUACCGAAC
rnacentral:lncRNA from 1 species